rnacentral:lncRNA from 1 species
GAGGGUGGAGGAAGGAGCUUGUAAAUGAGCAGCUGGUUUGCAGCAAAACCGCACCUCACUCUGCACCUUUGGAUCCCUCUCAGCCUGAGGUUAGCACAGCCAAUGUCCUCACCAGCGUCUGCCAAAGCCCAUGGAGAAGGCCAGCAGGAGCAUAUCACUGUGACUUACAACCCUUCUCUAGUCUGCUACAAUGGAAUCUUAAACAAGAAAAUUUUAUAUUUUGACUUGCAUCAUUGAGAAAAACACUGCCAACCUGAUCGUGGUUCCUUUGAAGAAUCACUGCAGCAGGUGCGAGAGAGGACUCAUGGAGCUUGCAGAUGAGCUAGCCCAGAUGCAAUUCCAGGAAUGCCAGGAAGCAAACCAAUUCCACCCCAAGAUACAAACAAAGAACAGCACCCUCUCAAAUGAUGCUGCAUGAUAAGUGGCCACAGAGAGCACCGCUGUAAUCAGUCAGAAAGGCAGGAGUGUUACCCGUGAUGCCAGGUGCAGGUGAAAGAAGUUGGAAUUGAAAAGAGCAGCAAAAAAUGUACUGCUUUUUAGUGCAUAAGAUCAUGAAAAUAUUGCACUGUGAGGGGAAAAGGUUGGUUUUCAGAGUUGGACUCUGUUGUCACCAAGAGAAGCACCAAGAAAGGGUGUGGAUAACUUACAGUCUGCUCAUUAUAGUCAUCUUAGCAAAGUAUAUUUUUCAAAUAAUUUUGCAUAAUCUUUCAACAGGCUUAUUCUUGUCAUA